CCGCCCAGGGUUAGUCGGGACCUAAGGCGAGGCCGAGAGGCGUAGUCGAUGGACAGCUGGUUGAUAUUCCAGCACCCGUGUAUGUGUGAUGUAGUGACAGAGGUGGCUAGCGGAUCCGGUUAUUGGAUUCUGGUCACGGCGAGGUAGUGGACGAGGAGGCAAAUCCCUUCGUCAUUAACAUGAAGACGCCAGGCGAGCGAAUGGGGCAACCCUAGUAGUGAAGUCCGUGAUGCCAACUCUCAAGAAAAGCUGCUAGCUUAAGCAUACAUGGCCCGUACCGAGAACGGACACACGUGGUCAAGGAGAGUAUCCUAUGGUGAGCGAGAUAACUGUUGUUAAGGAACUCUGCAAAAUUACUUCGUAAGUUAGCAAGAAGAAGUGCUCGUGUAACAGCGAGCCGCAGUGAAGAGGCCCAAGUAACUGUUUACCAAAAACACAGCUCUAUGCUAAGCCGUAAGGCGAUGUAUAUGGGGUGACGCCUGCCCAGUGCUGGAAGGUUAAAGGGAGAGGUCAGCGCAAGCGAAGCUUUGAACUGAAGCCCCAGUGAACGGCGGCCGUAACUAUAACGGUCCUAAGGUAGCGAAAUUCCUUGUCAGGUAAGUUCUGACCCGCACGAAUGGUGUAAUAAUUUGGGCGCUGUCUCGACAGCAGACUCGGUGAAAUCUUAAUGCCGGUAAAGAUGCCGGCUACCCGCGACUAGACGGAAAGACCCCAUGGAGCUUUACUAUAACUUAAUAUUGAACUGUUGUACUUCAUGCACAGGAUAGGUGGGAGGCGUCGAAACUCGGAUCGUGGUCUGAGCGGAGCCAUCCUUGGAAUACCACUCUUGAAAUACGGCAGUUCUAACCUGCGGCCAUCACUGGUCGGGGGACAUUGUUAGGCGGGUAGUUUGACUGGGGCGGUCGCCUCCCAAAAAGUAACGGAGGCGCCCCAAGGUACCCUCAGUAUGGUUGGAAAUCAUACAUUGAGUGCAAUGGCAUAAGGGUGCUUAACUGCGAGACCAACAAGUCGAGCAGAGACGAAAGUCGGGCAUAGUGAUCCGGCGGUCCUGAGUGGAAAGGCCGUCGCUCAACGGAUAAAAGCUACCCUGGGGAUAACAGGCUAAUCGCUUCCAAGAGUUCACAUCGACGAGGCGGUUUGGCACCUCGAUGUCGGCUCAUCACAUCCUGGAGGGGCAGUACCUUCCAAGGGUUUGGCUGUUCGCCAAUUAAAGUGGUACGCGAGCUGGGUUCAAAACGUCGUGAGACAGUUUGGUCCCUAUCUGUCGUGGGCGUAGGAAGUUUGAAAGGAUCUGUUCCUAGUACGAGAGGACCGGAAUGGACAGAGCAAUGGUCCACCAGUUGUCACGCCAGUGGCACAGCUGGGUAGCUACCUCUGGACUGGAUAAACGCUGAAAGCAUCUAAGCGUGAAGCCAACCUUAAGAUGAGACUUCCCAUUCGCAAGAAGUAAGACCCCCGGAAAGCGACCGGGUUGAUAGGCCAGAAAUGUAAGUGCAGCGAUGCAUUCAGUUGACUGGUACUAAUAGGUCGAGGACUUAAUAAU
rnacentral:rRNA from 1 species